GAUGAACGCUGACAGAAUGCUUAACACAUGCAAGUCUUUGGCGAAGCUGUGCUUGCACAGCCUAGCCAAGGCGGACGGGUGAGUAACGCGUAAGGAACUUGCCCUGCAGUCAGGGAUAACAGACGGAAACGACUGAUAAGACCUGGUAAAGUCAGGCGGACUCAUGUCCAGCCUGAUGAAAAGAGAUGCUGCAGGAGAGCCUUGCGUCCUAUUAGCUUGUUGGUGGGGUAACGGCCCACCAAGGCGAUGAUAGGUAGCCGGCCUGAGAGGGUGGACGGCCACAAGGGGACUGAGAUACGGCCCUUACGCCUACGGGAGGCAGCAGUGGGGAAUAUUGGACAAUGGGGGCAACCCUGAUCCAGCAAUUCUGUGUGCACGAUGAAGGUUUUCGGAGUGUAAAGUGCUUUCAGCAGGGAAGAAAAAAAUGACGGUACCUGCAGAAGAAGCGACGGCUAAAUACGUG
rnacentral:rRNA from 1 species